CCGCAAAGUAAAGUGCCGGGUGAAUCGACCUGGCCGACACAACCCUUUCCGCUCAAGCCGCCGCCGCUCGCUCGUCAACUCCCCAUCACACGACAAGACAUAAGCCGCGUCACGCCCGAAUCCAACAAAUACUGCACCGAACUGUUCGAC
rnacentral:misc_RNA from 1 species